rnacentral:rRNA from 1 species
ACGACUCUCGGCAACGGAUAUCUCGGCUCUCGCAUCGAUGAAGAACGCAGCGAAAUGCGAUACUUGGUGUGAAUUGCAGAAUCCCGUGAAUCAUCGAGUCUUUGAACGCAAGUUGCGCCCGAAGCCAUUAGGUUAAGGGCACGCCUGCCUGGGUGUCAC